GUGUUGGGAGCAAUGCUACAUAAUUCUAGGGAUAAAUCAUUUGGUUAGCCUAGUUCUCUUGCCUACAGCCCAGCUACAGAAUAACUCCAGUUUGGCCUCCGGUCACAACUGAGACUUCAGUGAUCCAGUGAUGCUGUGAUUCUCCAGGACAAGAAACAUCCUGGGAGAACAAACAUCUGCUCAGUUCCUCAUUGUUCUUGGACUGAUUAACAUCUCGUUUACCGGAGAUGUACUGAACUCUCUGCAAGCCUUCCGUUACACCUUGUUUAUCCCAAUGUGAACUAUUGAACUCUCUGCAAGUCAUUUGUUACAUUUGUUUCUCCGGAUGUACUGAAUAAAAGGUGUGGUAAGCUGGGGGCUUUGUCUUUGCUGCCCAGAGCAGCACUCAUCAGAACCAAAGCUCAGCUUCUUCUCAGUCUCAUUUUUCUACCUUUCCUGUAAUUCGCUGUGUGCUGCCGUGGCUUGCAGGAGACCAGGACUAACUGCAGAGGUUCUGGUAAUGUCCCCUUCCCCUGUCCCCUACAUUUGGUGCCCAACGUGGAUGUGAAUCGGAUCCAGGGGUGAACUCACCUGUGAGACAAACUUGGAGUAAGAGAGACAGCACACGGAUCUCCCAGGACGAUUUCCGGACUAGGACGAGGGACACCAGUGAUCCUUCCACUGCUUACUUUGACUAUGAAAAAAUGACAAGUUGGAGGAUGGUCUUGCUAUCCAGGGAUUCAAAUGUACUAUGUAUUUGAAGAGGCAAGAGUAGAGGUACUAUGCAGACUGAAGCAGUCAUCAAAGCAAGCUAUGCAACUGCUAACAUAGGACAAGUAUGACUUAUGGAACUCAAUAAAAUUAUCCAACAGCUAUCAAUCAAACAGCUAGCAUCUCACUGACAUUUUGUUGAUCUCGGGCAAUGACAGCUGCCACUGUCUUGGACACCUUCACUUGUUUGGACCAAUCACAGUUUUUCAUCUUGUUUGCUGAAGGCAGAGGUAUUCUCAUAAUCUGAAGAUCUUCUUUAAAGAAACCUGCAUAAAUCUCUCCUAUGGUACAAUAAGGAUGGAAGAAAUGGUAAUGGCUUUUAUUCCUCUUUGGAAGGAUUUUUAAUGACAUUUAACAUUAUGAAAAGGUACAAAAAUUUACUAAUAAUUAAUAGUAAUAAUAUUUUUAUAGUCAAACUUGAUAAUCAUUGUCUUACAAGUGAGAAACAUUUCAACAUUCUACUUUAGCAACAUUUUGACUUUAAGGAAAUACAUGAUUUUGUUGGAAGGUGUGAACUAUAGGUUUUUACUUUUUGACCACUGACACAGACAAAUGAUACAGCGAAGGUUAAUAACACUAUACUCUCAUCAUCUUAGAAAUAAAUUCAGGUAUGGCAGGUAUGCAUUGGAUUCUUUUCAGGAUUUUUAGUUUGUGUUUCAUGAGAAAAGCAAAAUUAAAUUUCUUGCAAUAAAAAUGUAAGAUAAAAGCAUAGAAAAAUGUUAUCUAUGGCAGUAUUUUCUCACCCUUCCAUCCUCACCUAAAGGCCCAUUAGCUUGUCUACAACCACAGAAAACAGAUCCGUGUCCAUAGAAACAAAGGACAUAAGACAGUUCUUUUAGUCACCAAGUAAAGCCAACUGUACCUCUGUCCUUCCCAUAUGAAUAAAUAAAUUAUUAAAUCUUUUCUCUGGGUUUCAGUCCCUGGCAAUGGAAAUUCUGAUUAGUAGAUUUCUAUGUAGGAAACCCUGCUGUGUGCUUGAAUAAAUAUGAAAUAUAGAGUCUGUCUUCUAGAUGUUACAUGUUAACUAGGGAGACUGUUUAUGUAAAGAUCAAUAGUGCUAUAGUGUAUAGUAAUACAGUCCAAGCUUAGGAUAUCCAGAAGGAAAAGGAAAAGCAGUGGUAAUGUGAAGGGAACUUCUAGGAAGCACAAAGCAACAUACAUUGCACAUUUUUGUCAAAGGUAUGAAAAAAUCCAGUAUAUUUGUAAGUUAGGGACUUACUGUAUAUAAGGUUCUUGUAUAAGAGAUUCAAAAGAUGAUGGUGUAGAUGAAAUAGAGAAAGUCUUGUACAGUCAGGACUCUCUAAGGAGAUUCAAUUUAUCUGGGAUGAGGGAGAAAUGUUAAGAUUGGGUAAAAAAAUACAAGUUGUGUUAUUCUGAAUGUCCAGACACUUGGGACCAGAGAUCCCUCUAAAGGAAUUCAAAGAUAUACUGAGGGAAAGGAAACCAAGUAACAAGGAGCAUGAAACUGAGAUCUCCAUUAAAAGAAUAGAUAAUGAAAAUGUGGUAUCUAAACAUAAUAGAAUAAUACUGUUUGGCUAUAAAGAAAUUUAAAUUAGAGAUAUUUGUAGGAACAUGGAUACACAUUGAAAAUAUAGUAUUAAAUGAAAUAAAUCAGAUAUACAUAUAAUCAUACAUACAUACAUACAUACAAGAUUAACCAUAUCACUUCAAUUAUUUCAGUAAUCCAAAGUACAAAUAAAGAGCAAAGUUAAAGAUUGAUAAAAGGAGUCAGUGAGAUAGAUAUUUUGCAAAUGGAAAUGGAAUCAGGAGAUGGUGGGGAGGCAAGGAAAAGAGAAAGAUACAUAAAAAGACUUAAGCAUCUUGUACACGUACCAGAUACUCACAGUGAAUGUAACCAUAGAUUGCAAACAUGAACUAAAAAACUACAAUGACAAUAACAAUUAAAAUGAUUAAAGGGAUCUAGAGAUGGGGAGAAAGUAAGUAGGUAAGGAGAAGAGGAAUAAAAACAAUCAAGAUGUGGGAAAUAUAUGUACUUCUUAACAUAAAUGUCAACAUAUUAUGCUGCAAACAUGUUAAAAAAAUAACAACAAAAAUGAAAAUCUCAAGACUUUUCUUUAGAAAAGAAGCUUCCAUAGAGUCUUGUAUCCUGUACAACCUUGAAGAUAUGGAGGUUUCACUUUAAUCACAAAAUAAGGAAAAAGGAGCCCUACUAUAGCUGAGGAACAGCCUGUGAUUUAUGAAGGCACUAGGAGAAUAUUGGCUCUUCUGAAAUGUACGUGAGUAGCCUUUUAAUGGUGGCCCCUUCAGAGGCAACAUUGUGCAAAGACAAAUUGCAGGUCAGAAAACAAUAUACCUUGAUUAGAAUAGGCUAAUGAGGACAGAGGGAAACUCAUGGAACUAGACUGGUGGAAUUCAGCACAAAGGGAAGUGACGCUUUGGUUAGCCCAGUUAUACAUAUUCUGUUCCUGGUUUACUCAAUUACAGAGUGAUCUUAAAUCAUUUCUUUCAAAUGGAAGAAUUUUAGACGUAUCAAAUGCAUAUUAAGUGAAAUAAUUUACUGUAAUAUUUAAAAAUAUUAAAUGAUAUGAAUAGUAUAUUCCCACUAUAAGCAUCUGCAUAAGUACUUUCUGUCAUGAUAGAAACACAGAUUUUAGAUGUGUAAAUUUAUUAAAGAAAACUGGGAGAUUUUAUAAAAAUAUUAUUAGUAGUUUUUCAUGAGUGGUGGGAUUAUAGGUUAUUACUAUUCUUCACAUUUUUCUGUUUCAGGUAAAUGUUUACUGUAAAUACACAUUGUGUUUAUAAUCAGAAACUAUGCUAUUUUAAAAAUCUGUAAAUAUAAUUAAUCUUUUGGUAAAUAUAACUCUAAUAACAGUUGAACACACUGUGUUCGUGAGUUUGCUUUCACUUAUAGUUACAUUUUCUUAUAAUUUUAAACUAGAAGUUCACUAGCAUGUCUCAGUAACAAUAUAUCAGAAAUGCCAGUAGAGUAUCCGGCACCAAGUAGGUUGUCAGUAAGUAUCAGUUGAAUUUGAAUUCAAAUAACUCUAUAUUUUUAGAUAUGACAAGUUAUUUUUUCUCAAUAUUUGGUUCAUAGCUUCAAAUUGCAUAAUAAAAGUGAUGCAUUUAAAAUACAUCCAAUCCAUUAAUCUCUUCUGUGUUCCUUCACACAGAAUCAUUGCUCCCAGUUCUCUCUCAGUAGUGACUGACAUCUGGAGCAGGCUUUAUCUAUCUUUCUGCAUUACUGGAGCUGCCAUUUCAAAUCUCAUCUAAAGCCAUAACAUUUUCUUCUACUUCUAUUAUUUCAGUCCAUAAUUGCAUUAUUUUACUCUGUCAAAUGUACUGGGAUACAGUUUUCUAUGAAAAUGGCUUGCCUACAAAUACGAGGCAGAAGAAUACUAUUUUGAAAUUAAUUUCCAAAAAAUGACUUUCCCCACAUUAUAAAUAUUUUUGUUUAUUAGUAUUCAGCAAUCCAGCUGUAUAAACCAAGACAAAAUAUUUUCAAAGAUGAACAGAAAAGGAUAAUGCUGAAGGAAAGAGAAGAAAAGACAUCCUUCUUAAUUCUAAAAUGUACUUAAAAUAGUAUUAUAUUGAUGCACCUAUGCUUCUAGCCACAUACAGACAAAAUUAGUCUGAUUCUUAAUACUGGUGUGAGAGUUCUUUUGAGAGAAAAGUAUGAAGAAUAAAAGCAUCUCCUAGUAAUCUUUCAAUUGUUAUUUCUAUCACAUUUUAUGAAUUUCUUCCAAGAUAAAGAAAUUCUAUUCAUAUCAUUAAACCAGUAAUGAAGAAACAAAAGGUGACCCAAAGGAGAGAAAAGCCAGAUAAGCAAAAGUAAGACAAAAAAUGUUCAGUUAGAUCUUGCACUAGCAAGAGCAUUAGCCACUUAUUUUCGAUGGAAACUCAAAGGCAGACAGAGAAGAGGGAAGUGUAAAAAUCAAAGAAACAAACAAACUUCAGGUUGCAUUGACUGGAAGUUGCGAGGAAUCUGGCACUGGGCUACCCAGACACAGGGUAUCUAUCCUCUGGGACAUUUUGGAGAGAGUAUUUCACUUUCUCUAGUUGGUUCUGAGUAAGAAGCACACUAACAACUUAGAGAAGCUCUCAGCCACUAAAUAAAUUCUGAAUCACCUAGUUCAAUCACUGCUGAUGUUGUUUGGAUCUCUCAGUGAUGGGACAGAGACUGUGGAUCAGCAGUUUAUUGUUCUAUACAGUAUGGCAGUGGUCCACUGGUAUAUUGGGGCUCUCAUUAAGAAAGAAUGUAAUUUAGAAGAAUAUCAACUUUUUGAAUAAAAUAUCAGAUAAAUCAUAAUGUUUAAAGAAGAUUUUCUAUAGAAAACAUAAGCACAUAGUUGAAGGAAAAUAAGAAAUAACAAAAUUAAAGGAUUUGGAUCAAGGGUAUAAAACAGUUUUUGAAGUAAAAGUAAUAGAAAUCUUAAAGAACUAUAAAUGAUGAAAUCAUUAGUAGAGGCAAAGGAAAGGAUUAUGUUAGAAUCGUGUCCUUCAAACUCCAAAAUAAAUAUGAAACCAGUGCUUAUGUACAAAGGCAGAUUCUGGUUGAGCAAAUUGUCAGUGAGUAAGUUCUGAUUGGGCAGAUUCUGAUCAGUGAAAGUCUAUGAGAAUGUGUAGGUCUAUUGAAUGUGCAGAUUUAUGAGAAGGUCUGGAGAUUACACAUCUCUUCUCAGACUCUUGAUGAUGCUAAUGUCCAUGAAACAAUUAAGCUUUGAUCUUUAAGAGACAAAUGAUAAGACAAGUAUUUCUUUUCACUGUAUAGUAACCAUAUAAAAAUUUUAUAAUACCAUUUUGAAUCCUGAAGCAAAAUUCAUUGAUAAAAUAAUCUGUAAAUACAUGCAGAAAAAUUAAAUGAAUCCAAUAGUGAGCUAAAAGUCAUUAUAAAAAGAAAAAAGAAAAGUUAUUUAUAAAAGUGUUAAUGUUGAUUUGCAAAUAUUAUGAUUUGACCAUCACAGGACACAUGCAAUGUUUUGGCACCGGUCCCUUAACUCAGUGUAUAUAGCAGUUACAAACAUAAACAAAAUAAGAAUGCUGCUUUGAAAACUGGGGUGUUGCUAUUAUUGAUAGAUUUUUGUGAAAUGUAAAAGAAUUUGAAAAUAAUCUCAAUGAAAUUAUCAUCUUUACCCAGUUUUCACAGUUUAUAUAUGUAAAAUAUAUAUGUUCAGUGUUUUUUAAAUGAUGUUAUAUUUUAUUUGUGCUUUUGUGCAAACCAGAAUAUGGAUCAAUGCUCAAAAACUUCUUAACAUUUAUGCCCACACUUGAACAUUUUAUAUUUUAUGCAAUCCAGCAGAAAAUACUUCAUUAUCUACAUUGCAGACAUGGCAAUGUCUAUGGUCCUAGCCAAAUAACAUCUACUCUCAAACACAGGACUAUGUGCAGAUAGAGUAUUUAGUUAGUUUUAAGUAUUGUUUUUUAUUACAAUCAAUGUCCAAUUAAAAUUCCAGGCAUGUUGACUGGGAGGAAAAAUUGCUGUGUUUCAAUGACAGGAACUGCUAAAUUUCCUCCAUAAAACAGUACCUAUUCACAGUUCCAUAAUCAAAUAAUUGAGGUGUAGAAGACAGCCAAUGUUUUAAGCAUGCUCUCCAAAAAGACCAUGAAUUGUUGGGAGAGAAGAGAUGAGAGGAGUUUAUUGGGAGAAUUUGCUUACUCAACUGUGGAGGAUGAAAAGUCCCACCGUGAGCUAUGUGGAAGCCAGAGAACCAGGGCAAAGGGAGGCUGACUCAGCUUUCCUGUGAAGGCCUGGGACUCAGGGAAGCUGAAGGUGUAAUUCUUAGACUAAGACCUGGAAGAAAUAUGAACAUUUCUGGUUUAUGACCUAAAUCCAAAGAUCAGACGAAACUUAAUUCUGACACCUCAGAGUAAGAGAAGCGUGGUGUCUGGACAAUAGGAAAUAGUAAAAAGUUGACUUUUCUCUACUUUUUUGUUCUGUCUAAGCCUUCUUUUGACUGGAUGGUGCCUUCCACUUAGUCCACUGAAUAACGUAUCAGACUCCUCCAGAAACACUGUCACAGACAUGUCUGAGGCAGACUAAUCAUUCUAACCAAAAGGAAAACCACCUAGGGUUCCUUUCAACAGAAGAGGGAUGGACUCAGUGUCUAUGGGACUUUGAGAAUAAAGUGUUUACCAGCUGAGUGUUUUUGAUCCAUCAUGAAUCAUCAUGUUUCCACAUGGUUCCUUCCUUAGGAGUCUGUGAGUGGAGACUAGUGAUAGAUGUCUAAUGGAAUAGUCAUAUCUAGAAAAAAGUGUGAUUUAAAUUGUUCACAUGCAUCUCUGUGAGUAUGAAUAAGAAAGACAGUAUAACAUGAACAUCAAAUACAUUUUAAAUUUGCCCACGUGCUUUUAAAAAAUUUGCCCAUGAUUUAAAUGAAAACAGUGAAGCUUUGAAAAACCACUCACAAAUUUAAAUUUCCAGGUUUUACCAUUUUUGUAGAAUUGUGUAAGUUUGAACAAAUCCCAUUUUAAAGCAAUCAACAGCAUUAACCUCACUUAUAUGCUGAUGACGUCAUUUCAAAACAUAUAUUAAAGUAAAAGUAAAACUAAAAAUGUACAAGAAAUGUACAGUUAUCCAAUGAUGUCUAAAGUAUUAACACACAAUAGUGACUUAACUAGUCUAUUUAAAGUAUUUUUUUCUCAAAUGUUAUGCAAAUUUUUACGGUUUAGUUACUCUGAAUAUAAAUCUAUUAUAUAAGAUUGUCAAUUUAAUUUCUUUAAGGCUGGCAUAAGUUUUGUGGAAAUUUUAGUAUUUUUAAUUUACAAAAUAUUGGAGAUAUAAUUGUCUUAAUCUAAAUGUGUCUUGCCAAAUUUAGGUAUUAGGGAAGUGUUAUCAAAAGAUAAAAGAAAAGAAAAGAAAAGAAGUUGUAUAACUAGAACUGUUUCUCCUUCAUCUAAUUAUACCCCAUGUUAUCAUGGUUAUUGGAGCCUAAUAAAUUUUCAUUAGAUACAUGUAAUAAAUGUUUAGGUUCAUACUCUCUUUUAAUGAAUUUCUGUUCAAAAGGAAAUUCAAUGCAUGUUUUAUUAUAUACAUUUCAUUGAAUGUGUAACUCUACAAUUUAAUACUACAUAUAGAUUUUUUAAUUCAUAAAAUAAUUGGCUUGCAUACAAAAAUAAGCAACAACAUGGAAAACCUUGAAUUCAAUCUAGAAAUUAUGUAAGCUGGAGAUCAAUCGAUUGAAAAUUUAAACAAAUGUACAAAAACUUAUAAACACACAAUCAAGGAAUAAAAAUUUAAUAAAAGAAAUUUUAGAAAAGAAGAUCCACAAAAUUUAGAAAAUGUAAGAUAUAUCAUGUACAGGUACAAAUUUCCAAUGAUGAAUGUGAGCAUAAUGUAUAUCUAAAAUGUACCAAUAAAGUUAAUUAAAAAAAUUCAAGAGCAUGGAAAGAAAACUACUGGUAACUAAUAAAUGACAAAGGAGAAAGAAAGAGAAAAACAGAAAGCAGAAGAGGAGAAUAGUGCAAAGGAAGAGGAAAGAAACAAAAUAUCUGUGUAGGACAACUGUAGAAAUAUGACAGAGAUAUCCUUCCCAAAGGUUAGGGAUUGAUGACCUUUCAUUCUUUCUUCCUUCUAGGAGUUGAAUUAAAUGGACGACAAACUGUCCCACUUGAACUAUAUUCUACACUUGUUUUUCUGUAUUUCCCACCCUAUUUGCUGGCCAGACUCGAGAGUCUAUGUUUUUAUCUUGGCAUUUUUUCUCAUGCAUUGAUCUUUUUCAUGAACUCUAUCAAAUCCUUGUUUAUCUACUUAAUUUUAAGUUCUAAAUUUCACUAAUUAUACUUUUUAUUAUAUAGUUUCAAAUCAAAUCUCUUUAAUUUAUUAAUUCCAAUGCUUUGAUGACUUUUUUCAUCUUGCUACAUAUUAUAUUCAGUUUAUUAAAUAUAAUUCUUAUAGGUGCCCUAUAAGAGGUUGUGGUUUUUCUUUUCUUUUCUUCUUUCCUUCUUUCUUUCUUUCUUUCUUUUGGAGCUGGAUACAAAGUACAACCUUGUUUUAUAAAGUCCUGUGUUUUGUUUGAUCUACAAAUCUCUUAUUUCAAUUGAUUUUGGCAUCAGGAUGUAUGUCCUUCCCUUUUUUCCAUACCUAUGUUUUUAGUUGAUUUUCUCUGAGUAGCUUCAAUGUGGCUCCUCCUUUAUUCAGUCAUGUUGCCUGAACCAGAACUUCCAAUGAUACAAACAGCCCACUCUGCCACGUAUUAAAAGUACAGCUUCAAGUAUGGUAAACAACUGCUUUACCACUGAGUUAUAUUUCUACAUGUAAAUCCAUUCCAGAUAAUUUAAAUACGUAAGUUAGUUCUAAUUUAAUGUUAUUAUCUUUUUAUAAAAUCUUAAUUAAGAUUUUAUUGGCUAUCUUAUAGAAUGUGAGACAUUUUAAGUGAAAAUACUUCAGGAUAGAUUUGGGUAUUAGGCAGCUAUAGUAGGAACCACACUUUUCAGUCCUAUGGAGUUGUUCCACAGUGGUGUACAAACUCCAUAUGUCUAUUUACUUUGAUUUUCAUUCACUCUCAUGUAGGAGCUCUUUUAAUAGUAGCCAAAAAUUGGGGGGUAAUUUUCAGGGUCAAGUUGCUUCAGACUGGUUUAUAUACAUAUGUAAAUCAUAUCUAAAUCAAUUUCUUAAUUUAACUCAAUUCUUCAACAUUGUGGAAUAAGUAACAGUCUUUCUCUAAUGUUUAGCCCGUUUUCAGCCUGGCUCUUCAGGCUCUCCUCCUACACAAUUUAAGAAUCUGAAAUAUUUCAAGAAUGCCAAAACUGUGUUAAGAUCAAUUUUUUGGAUCUCUCUGUCCUCUCCGUACUGUUGGGCUAUUCUUAUGUUACAUGAACUCUAGGGAUUUCCAUUACAGUUUGUGGUCUCCGAAACCUGUGCUGUGAUACCUUGGCAAUCAAGUUCUGCUUCCUCAGAUUUUCUCCUAAUAAAAACUAUCAGAAAAUGCCUUGAUAAAAAAGGUAUGCAGAACCCUGGACUUGCCUUGGAAACUUACCUCCUAUUGAGACCUUGAUUCUUCUUAUAUGCCUUUCAUCACAUUUUUGUUACUUCAUAUAUUUUUAUCUAGCUUUACUUGUGAUUAUUGAAGAAGAUGAAUAUGCGUCAAGUCCUCCAUCACAACCAGGAUUAUAGUAGAUGAAGUCUUUUCUGACUGAUUUUAGUAAGAGCAAUUAUUAGAAAAUACUCAUCCUUCAAUUUCAUUUUGAAGAAAUUUAAGCAGAAGUACAAGACCAAAUAGUAGAAAGUGAAUAUAUACUUUUGGAUAUAAUUAACAUCUAUAUGUAAACAAAUCUCAACAUUUGAAGCUUCUAAACUUCUAGAAUUAAUGUAAUUGAAGGCAAACAGGCAGCCCUGUUUAUUUCAUUCCCAACAAAAUUUAUAAGCAUCAGUGAGUUGACAGACUGUCAGUUAAAUUUCCAUCAACCUGAACAACUCCAGAUGUGUAUCAGAGAAUGCAAGUUAUGAAAAGCUAGCAAGACCAUAUCCAGUAAGUUUUCUAUAACUUCUGCCUGGUUUUGAUGUUCCAUAAAUACUAAAUGCCUAUCAAUCAAAAAGCUCCCUUGUAAUGACUUAUUACAAUAAAGGAAGCCACAUAUGCAUACAAGAGAGGAGCUGCAGUUUUAACUUUCAUUCAAUGUCAAUUUAAUUUGAGUAUCAUUCCAACACCUAGUUUAUGAGUUACACAAAUUACAGCAGUGGUGUUUUUGCGAGGGUAAUGGUAAUGAUGUGUCAUUAAUUCCUCAGAGCAUAUCAUAUUUUCUGCACUCAUGAUAUAGAAGAGGCCACAUUGAAUUCAUCUUUUUCACACUACUGAAAAUAGGCUAUCUCCAAUAAGCUGCUAUAAUAGGGGAAUGACACAGAGUAAAACUGUAAGCAUGCUGUCAUAAUGAAUAUAUGUAUUUUUUAUCAUCUAUAGCAUCACAAUUAUGCACACAUAGAUAGUAAAUUAAUGAAAUGCUCUUCCGUAUAUAUUUGGUAUUGAAGCAGGAGAAACAACAAAGAACAUUGGCUAAUGCAGUUUUCCCAGUGUAUUAGAAUAUCUCUAUAUAAUUUGGUAAGAAAGACAAAGUGUUCAUUUAUCACUUAGGUUUUCAAUCCCACAAUGUCACCUAUUAGUCUCAGGGUAAAUGCAUACUAAUAAUAAGAUUCCUUCUGGUUUCUCUACUCAGUCUCCUAUGAAUUGUAUUCCUGGCCUCUAGAAGCUGUGUUUCUUUUGUUUGAUUAUUCUUCUGGCACUGGUUGGAUCCCACUUACAUAUGCAAUUUAACAUGAUGGCAAAAAUAUACUUAAAUAAAUGUUUUAUGCAAUCAAUAUUUUCACCUUUUUAAUUGUCACUUAAUUAUAUAAUUUAUAUAUGUUAAAGUAUUUAAUUGUUGUUACAGUCCUUAAAUAUUUGGCUUAGAUUGCAAUUAUAAAGUAGUUCUUGUGUGAAAAUUUAGUAAAACAAUUUUCUACCUUUCUGAUUUUAUUACCUCUCCACAGUAUUAUUAUCAACAGCAAUUCAAUGAUAAAAUUCCUAGAUGCAAAACUAUAAAUUUCUUAACUUCAGAAAAUCUUUUAUUAGAAAAUUAUCUCCUCAUUCUACCUAAACUAAAAUUAUGACAAUAUUGAUAUAAAAAAUCACAUCAUAUUAAUAAUGUAAAUGAUCCAAAAAUAAUUUAACCUUCCUUGUUCAUGAAUAUUUACAUCUUCUGGCUUCAUUUGUCAAAACUGAAAACGUCUCAAAAAUCUCUUUUCUUUUCUUGUCUUUUUUUUCUUUUGGUGUUGGAUGAUUUCAUCAAUUCCUGACUACAUAUUGAAUAAAAUAAUUUUAUAUCACCCAAUGUAAUUACAGUAUUUUCACACAGAUUCAAUUUCUGUUAUCUGGAAAAGUAUUUUAGAAUUUAACCUUCCAUCAAAGUUGAAGUGGAAAUUAAAAAUUUUAACAAAUUUGGGAAGUAGAUUUAAGAAAGACCUGUGAGUGUACUUAUUUGCAUUUGAAUUCAAUUGAAAUCCAAUAGAGCAGAAGCCAACAAAGUUUUGAAGAUAGUUGCUUUGUCAAAAUAACCACAAACACUCCCAGAACAAAAUAAAUUGUGGCCCUAUUGAGACUUGAGGUAUCCCUUUGUUCUCCAGGUGACAAGUGUCAGUAAAUGGAAGAGCUGUUUAACAACUUUCAAGGGUAUAUUCUGUGCUUCAAUUUAGACAGAAAGGAUAAAAAGAAUCUGCCCUAAUGUCAUGUGCACAUUUAAGGAGAAAAACUGAGUGGGAUUCUCACUUAGGAAGUUUAAGGUCUAACUCAGGAAUAUUUUCCAAAUUCUGAUUAAGGACCCUGGCUAGACUUGUGUGGGGAAAUUCAGAAUUCCUCUGUAUCACCAUCUACUCCAUGGCAGCAAAUAUUCUGUCCACAUUCAAAUAGUACAUGUUGGCCUGAAGCUGCUUCCAUCAUUGUAGAGUUCAUUUAGUUUUGUGAAAAAUAUCUUCCUGAUUUAUAGAUCUCUAUACAAAGACAGCCACAACUUCACAUGAAAAACAACAAAUACACAAAGUUUCUGGAAUUUGAGGUUGGAAUACAGCAUCUGAAUGAAAAUUUUGUGCUGUUACCUAGAGAAGAGUGAAUGUACAUGCUUAUAGUAAGGCCACAAAUAUGUGGAACCUGUGGCUACUAUUACCAUGGUCCUCCUAAUAUUGCUGGUUCUCCUUCUAGGAACCUAAUAUGAUUUUUUCACUGCUCCACACCAUUGAAGGCCCAUAGAAUAUGAGUAGAACUGACAUUUGUCAGAUCCAGGUGGAAAUUUAAGAACUAGUGGACAAGCUAUCAGUGUCUCUCUCUCUCCCUCGCUGGGGUCUUACAAUAGGCAUCAGUUCAUUUCCUUCCAGUGUCUACUCUGUUAACAUGAGUUGCGGAGUGAGGGUACACAAAGUACAGUCCCAGUGGACUUGUGGGUAGAGAUGAAGAAAUCAUUUGCUUUUAAGAUAGCAAGAUCUCUGUAAUUUUUUUUUUAAAUCAACACCUAACUUAGUUUAUCUCAUAGAUACAAACACCUAGUGUAAAUUACUCACUUAAGCCCAGGAGGGGAAAAGUAUUCAUUUAAACCCAGUUCUAUAUUUCAUGUUAACUAAUCUAAGCAUUGUCUUAAGGUAUAUUCAGAAUAUGCAUCUUUAAUCGUUGCGUGUAGAACACAUUGUGAAUUUCUGGUCCAUGUUCUAUUAUAGUCAAUGCUAAGAAAAUAUAGUCAUAGUGAAAGGAAGAUUUCUUAUAAAAGGAAGCAAAGUGUAGAUUCUACUGAAAAAAGCAUUCCAGUUCCCCUGUUUGUCAUUAGAACUUUAUAAAAAUGUUGAAGUAAUGCAUUUUGCAUAUUUUUCCCUCCACGAUAAUGUGAUUUUAGACACAGAAAAUACCUAGGUAGGUGCAUUUUGCAUUUAAGAAUAUUUCCCAGUGAGAAGCAAUCAGCAAGACAAUUGUUAUCUUGUUGCAAAAAAUGCCUACCAAGAGAGUACAGAACAAAAAAUAUAGCUUGCUUUGCAUCUAUCAAUUUUAUUGGUGAAGAAACAACUACUAUUCGUUGGUUUAGUUUAGAAAUAGUUUUGUUACAGAUUUCCUUAACAUGAAAAUGUGCUUCUUGGGAUUUUCUCAAACAUGUACUAAAAUAGAAAAAAAAAGUAAAUGCUUGAACAUAAAUGGAUCUCUAAAAGAAAGUUGCUUCCUAAAAUCCUAUUUAUUAUGUAAUAUGUAGUGAAAGUAAAAUUUGCUAAGAUUAGUUUUGAGAUGUGAAGUUUAUCAAGACUCCAACUUUUUAAUUAAAGCAAUGUAUAGGGGCUGGGGAUUUAGCUCAGUGGUCCCGCCACCUGCCUCACAAGUGCAAGGUUCCGAGUUCGAUCCUUGGUACAAAAACAAAACAAAACAAAACAAAACAACCAAUGUGUGUUUCACAACCAAAUCAUAUGCCAAAUAAUAUUUGAAUUGACAGACUAUAUAUGUUCUUCAAAUGCUGUUUUAUUUAGUAUUUAUAAUGUUUACAUGUGAAUGAAGUUAAGAUUCAGUAGCAAAUAUGAAUGUAUAUUCAUAGCAAUAUAAUUACACCUCAAAUUCAGUUUUUGGAUGAACUAAACAUCAGUUUUAUUUUGAAAAUAUGGUACAACUUUUACAUAUUUGAAAUAAUUUUCUGAAGGGUAAUUUUGUUUCAAAUCUUGAAUAUUCACAUUAGAUGUUACAUUAACUUGGGGCUCUUUGAAAACAAGCCUCAGUAUUCAUUAUAUUGGAUUACCUCAUAAUAUUUCCCAGUGGGAAUGCUAAAGUGGCUCACAGCCAACCUUACAAUACUACUGUCACAGCCUGUUAUACAGAAUUGCCUUGUCACAUAUUAUAAAUGUCUUUAUUUUUAAUAUUUUAUUGAAUAUCCAUGAUAAAAUUAAAACAAUUUCAUUACUUAUGUCAUGAAGCUAAAGUCAAGUGCCUCUUGUUUAGUUACAAAGUUCAAUUGCAAAUGUCCCAACUAAUAAAUUAAGACAUCCAUUCUCAUAUGCAGAAGUGCUGGUUGUGUGUACUUCUGUGAAGUGCACUUUAGUCAUUUUAAUGUGAAUUGCAGAUUAAGUUGAUAAAGUACCAUUGACUGUAAAGAAAGUGCUUGUGACAAUACUCACUAUCAAACAAAAUUAUAAUAAAUAUACAGUUGCAAAAUAAGCAAAAGCUUGGAAAUAAAAGAGUUAGAUCAGAAAUGGAAGACACCCAAGAUGUUCUAUUGAGGAACAGCUAAAUGGUUAACUUCACAGUAUUCAAGGAAAAUUUCAAUUUUUUAAGGUCCUUAAUAUUCAUCAUUCCUAACUUUUAAUGCCAAAAUUCACUCUUUAAGUAAAGAUGUAUUUGUAUCCACAUAUUUUAUUUUAGGUUUAUGCGGUCUUUAGAGGAAACAGCUUUUACUGCAUCAUACAGUGGAAAGGAAGAGUUAAGGCAGUCGAUACACUAGAAUUCAGGAUGCAAGUGCUGAUAGGGAGUAGCAAAGAGCAAAGGAAGUUCAGGACCUCUUAUUCUUUUGUCUGAACUUUAAAGAGAUAUUAUGUGCAAGAUGAACAAUAAUAAAAGCAUAUUCUUAUUUCCCUUUGCUUAGUUCCUGAUACAGCACUCAUGUAAUUAAUAGAGUAGUCGUCAAGAAAAUGACUUGAGUGCACAAAGCCCUGCCAAAAUUAAUACCUGACUUUUAAUAUUAAUUUGAUUUUCUAAACAUUUUUAGGAAUAAAACAAUUUAAUUCUUUUUGCUAUUUGAGGUAUGAUCUUCGUGGUGGCCAUGAGAACCUCCACUAUGACCUACUACCAAAGAGAGUAUAGUUUAUGGACAGACUCGGUUAAUAUUGCUCUGAUCUCAACCCCAACUUGGUCAGGUUGCUACCAGCUAGAGACUGAUCAUGGCAAAGAUAUCAUUGCAUUGUGAUUUGUCCUUGCUGCUUCCAAUUUCUCACAUUUAUUCUUUCAGACACUUCCUCCAAUGAACUGCUUGUACCGUUGAUCCCAUUGUGAUACCUGCUUAGAACAAGCAACCACCACAAUUGUGUAUAUCUUCAACAAAAUGCUGAAAAGAAACACUUUCUUGUCUUUCAAUUGAAUAUUUUUAUUUCAUAUAAUGCUAGUAGAGAACAAAUAAACCUAUACUAUUGAUUUAUUUAUCAUGAAAUAUUUCAUUAUAUACAUUGUGAUGUGUUAUGUGUUUUUUUCUUUAAUUAGAAAACUAAUAUUAUUACUUCUUAAGUUUAGAAAUACUACCUUAGAAAUUUAUGCUUCAAGAUUCUGGAUUUAUGUACAAAAUACCCUAAAAAGGAACUAUAUUCCUGAGAUGUUCACAAACAAUGCAUUAAAUAAAUCAGAAUGAAUAUUUGAGUUUAUUCUUCGAGGGGGCAAAAUAAAAUAAAUAUUUCAAUCUUACAUGACUUGGAAAUAAAUGACUAAAGAAGUGUGGCUUUCUGGGAGGAGUGUAUAGGUACAUUUACCCUUCCAUUCAUCAGAUAUGAUUUCUUUUUUUUUAAAUUAGUUUUAUUGGUACAUUUUAGGUAUAUAAUAUAAUGACAUUCAUCAUUGGAAAUUUGCACCUCUACAUAAUCUCUUGAUUCUUACUUUUUCCCCAUUCCCCUGCCCUUCUUUCAACCCCUCCACCCCUCCCUAUUUACAAAGACUUUCCAUUUUUUCAUUUUCUCAUAUUAAUUUCAUUCCCUUCUUUCCUUUUCCCUGCCCCUCCCACUUCCCAUUCCCCUUUGCACCUUUUCUUCCUAUUUCACAUUAUCUAUUAUACCUUUUAGUCUUUAUUUAUGCCUUCAGUUUCUCACACUAGAAAAACUAUUCAGUAUUUACACGUGUGUGUCCUAUUCAUUUCACUUAGGACUACCACCUCAAUGUGCAUCCAUUUAGCAAUAAAUGUCUCUAAUUUCCAUUUUUUAUGGCUGAGUAGUACUCCAUUUAUAAAAAACCCCACAUUUUUUAUGUGCAUCCAUCUUCAUAGCAGCACAAUUUGUAAUAGCUAAAACUUGGAAGCAGCCCAAUUACCAAUCAACUGGAGACUGGAUAAAGAAGAUCAGAUAUGAUUUCUGUUAGCUCACUCAAUGCAUCCUAGACACUACACCCUAGACUUAAUGGAUGAGUCUCUCUUUACUUUACUACCAAUUCCUAAUUUUUCAUUGAAUUAUUAAUGGGUCUAGUGGUUGUGAACCUUUUUUAUUGGUUUUGUUUGUCUUUGGUUUACGAGGUUGGAGUGGAGCAGGAGGAGCAAUGAAUAGUAGAAUAUAUAAGGGCAAUAUUGUGUUGAAGUGAUUCAUAAGCCCUCUUUCAUCAAAUGCUAUUGGAAUUGAAUAAUGAAGGCUUGUGAGCUAGAAAAAUGUAAAAUGAAAAUUUUAUUUUCAUAGUGUAUGAAAACAAGGUUGUACAAAAUAUUCUUAUAAUGAAAAAUUUAAGGAUGUGAUAAAUGCCCGACAUAAAGUGGAAAAGACUAUUAUAAUUUCAAAGUACUCUGAUCAUCUAUGUUAAAGAAGCUUUCUUGGAAAGACAUGAGCAUCUUGUUGGAGUAGUAUCAUAACAAGGUAAUACCCUCAGUACAUGAGGUAAAAGGACCCAAGUUACCCAAGUUAUUUAGAUGAAUGCAUCAAGAGUUAUCAUGGUUGGAGUGUCUCUGAGGAGUAAGGAAGAACAAUUGUCUACUCUGAUGUUUUCUUUUUCUCAUUGUGUAAGAAUAAAGAAGAAGCUGGAAAGAUUGCUGGUGAAUCAAUAUAUUCGUGGAGAAAUGAGUCUAGUUAAAACAAGAAACUUAAGAAAAUGUUCACAAAUGACGCCUUGGAGAACUUUGCUCAUAAAUGACUGUGAGUCCAGGGAGGAUACUGGAAGGCAGACUACUGUGACAAAGUAUGUUAGGCAAUAAGGGUGACCUGAAAAUCUUACAGUUAUGAUUUGACAAACAGAAUUAAAUAGCAGAGCUGAGAUGAGGCCCACUAAUCUCUAGGUAGAUAGUGAAGCUGAGACUACACUUAGUGUUGUUGGAAGAACGUUGAAAUGGUGAGAUCUCUCCAGACAGUAUGAUUCUCAGACUUUCUUAUGUCCUACUCAUGACACUGUGGAAGUUGCAGAGAGGAACUUCAUCCAGAGAGCAUAAGGACUUCCGUGACUGCCUCUUCAAUUCUGCUAUCGGAGGCAGUCUAGGGGAGGUGUGGUCUUAUCCACGUAUCUGUUCCUCCUUCACUCACUGAAACACAUUUAUAAAACUGGGCCUGGGAUUUAGCUCAGUGGUUCUGCUGCCUGCCUCGCAAGGACAAGGUCCCAAGCUCGAUCCCUGGUACCAAAAACAAAACAAAACAAAACAAAAAAACUACCCUAACAAUUUCAAGAAAACAACCUUAUGUUAAUUUUCAACACAGUCCAAUCUUUCAUGGUACUGGCAGCAAAAUAUUUGUUUUAGCUAAGGAAAAAUUAAUAAGUCUUUCUGGCAGCAGGAGUAUAUUAUUUAGGGUACUCUAGGGAAACAGAGUCAAUUGAAUAUAUAUGUGUGAUUAUGCACUGGAAUUCAUUAACUAGGCUUACAGGAUCAGAAAUGAGAGAGCCCACAAUGGCAUUUGUGGGACCAGACGCAAGAGAGUCCGCAAUAGUCACUUGAACAUUACAGACCCAGAAGAUACAGGAGAUGCUUGGCCAAGAAGGUGGAGGCCACAGGACAGGAGGAUGCAAGGAUACAGCACUUGUCCAAGUUUGAAGGCCUAGAAGCUCCCUGGAUAGUUACCAAUAUGAGUCUGUGUUAGAAAGCUAAAGAAACUGCAGAUCUGGAUACUGAUGUCCAGUGGCAACAGCAGCAGAGUAUACACACAAUUAGGAAGACGGAAGUUCUUCAAACUGUGGACAGUUCCUUGUUUUCUCCUCUUUUUAUUCCAUCCUGGCUACAACCCCAUUUGUUAGUGCCACCUACAUCAGGAAUGAGUCUUCCUCCCUGGGUUGACUGGUUUAUAUAUCAGUCACCCAUUCACAGUUCUGUUAGAUAAUGUGUAGGAUUUCUGACCCCAGAGAAUGCAAGAUGUACUUAGGUAUAAUAAAAUGGAGCAGUUGACCGUUCCAAGGAAUAAUACGUGUAAUUCUAUUGUUUCAAAAACACAUCAUCUAUUGAAGAAUGAGUGAGAGAAGCUCACUACGAUGAUUAUAAUAAAAAUAUAAUGGUACUUCUUUUUAAAAGGACAGUAUAAGGUAAUUUACCAUGUAUACAUCACCUGUGACCCCAACGUUUUAAAUUUUAUGCUCUGUUCAAUGGCAGUAGCAGGGAGUCUGGAGGGAGAAUUCUCUCACAGAUUUACAAACUACCAAAAUGUUUAAACUUAACUAAAUAAAAGACUAUUUGCUAGCCUAGAGUUGUUUUAAGACAAAUUCUUUAGUACCACCUCAACUCUUCAGCAGAGUGUAAUAUUUAAAUGUAAUUUUAUGAGGUCUGGUGUGCCCACAAUAUGUGAAAACAAUGAUUAGUUUUUAUAGAGUUCCUGCAACAUUGCAUUUAAUGAAAGCAAUGAUGGUGAGCUCCUAUUUACCUUUGUACAAGGUUUCUUAAUUUAGCACUGUACCUGAAUAUGUGUGGUAGAGUGCAAGUUUUGCUUCUAUAGUGUCUUAAAAUAUAUUUUAAAUAUGGCCCACCUAAAUGGGCCAUUUUAAAUAUGGGCCAUUUUAAAUAUGGCCCAAGUAAAUGAAAAUAGAAAAAACAAGUGAUCACCUUCAGUACCAUCAGAAAAAAAGUCAAAUGUUACUUAAACAAACAGUGAGAAAUGUGAAAUAGAUAAAUUCUGCUGUAAUACACAGUUUCUUAUGAUGGCUUUUUAGAUCCAAUAUCUCUUGGAGAUCUAAAGUCAGUUUUCAGUUGCAGUUUAAAAGACUGUAAAAAUAGAGGAUUUAUGAUUAUAUCAUAAAGGAUAUCCUAGAGUAUUUAAUAUGAAAUAUUUAAUAUGAAAAUUCUCCAGCUCUCAGGAGCAGCAAUUUUCAGCUCUAUGUUCCAAGUGGAACAUGUUGUCAUCUCCUGAAGCAUUGUUUAUUAUGGUGCUGAGUGUUGGUGUCCUUGGAAUCAGUGUGGAAGUGUGAAAAGAAGUAAAUCUGUUAUCAAGGACAGCUGGAUUUCUUGGGUCAAGGUUUAAAGAUCAGAGCUUUCUACUCUUUUUAAAUAUUUCAUGACUGAUUUCUAGUUUUAGGCAUUCAAAAUAACUCCAAAUGAUGUCAUCAUUUUCUCAGUAGAUUGAGGCUAUCACUAGAAGUUACUGCAACAGAAACAGUCCCUCAUGAUUGGCAAGUUGGUAAGAAUUAGAGGAGACUAUUCAUGCCAGCAAACACAGGACAAUCAUAAGUUUUUGAAAUUAGACAGAUGAAGUUUGUAAUCUGUUGUUGCAAUAUACCACUUGUGUAAGUGAAUUUUAACCCUACCUAUGACAAUUGGGAGAUGAUACCUGUGAAAUAAGUGGCAUGAAUUUUGUAAUGAAAUAAUUUGUUGAUUGUGCAAUUGUGUGAUACGGUUUACAUGUAGAUGGCCCCCUAAAGUCUCACGAGAUCAUAGGUGGGACCUUUGUUUUCCAGGGUUUUUUUUUGUUUUUUCUUGGUUGGGGGUACUGGGGAUCGAACUCAGGUCCUUGUGCUUGCACAGCAGUUGGAGAAACCACUGAGCUAAAUCCCCGGCCCCAUAGGCGGGACAUUUGGAAAGUGAUUGAAUUACAGUUGAGUUGCUGCUUGUAGGUAGAACCUGGUUGGGAGAGGUGGGUCACCAUAAGCAUGACAAAGAAUGUUAUAUCUCCCUUCCAAGCUCUUCAUUUUGUUUUCUGCUUCAUGUCUGCCAUGAGGUAAGUAGCUCUCCUCUGCCAUGUGCCUGUGUCAUGUCAUUCUGUCUUGGAACCAGCCACUAUGAACUGAAGCACAAGCCAAAAUAAACCUUUGCUCCUAUAAGUUUUGGGUAUUAAGUAUUGUAUCUCAGCCAUAAAGAGGGAAGUAACUAAGAUUUUGAUACCAAAGAAGUAGGAUCAUUGCUGUGACACUACUUGUCCUGUGGUUCAGAAACAUUUGGAGGUUGUUUGAGGGAGGAGUUUGGAAAUAUUUGAAGAUACCAUCUGGAGAACCAGACUGAAAAUGCUGCAAACUGAUCAUGAUAGGAGAUUCUGGUCAGAUUUCAGAAGAUCAUAAUGCUGAUAGAAGUCGGUAUAGUAAAGAUGAGGUUCAGGAGGUUUCAGUUGGGAACAAGGACUAUAUUGGCAGUAGUACUCCAGACCAUGUGUGUUACACUUUGGCAGAAAAUUUGUCUACAUUUUACUCAGAGUAAGGGCAGUAGAGUAAUCUGGUGGAGAAAAUUUCAAAGCAGCCUAAUAUUAGGGCUGUGAUAUGUAUACUAUUAGGUGACUUUAGCCAGUCCUAGUUGGAAAACCAGGAGCAAAAAGCCCACUUUUAAAGUUUUCAGUUUUUCCAGAAAAAAAACACCUACAAAGUUGUAGCAGAGGAAAGCAUUGUUGCUGAAAUAAUUAGCAGUGAAUAGAAGCCAAGUAUUUUGAAUCAUGAUAGGAAAAAUACUUUGAGGGCACGUGAAGAAUCAGCAAGGGCCCAACCUUCCCAAUUACAAAAUUGCAAAAGUUAAAAACUUUGCUUUAAAAAGGGGGUCCAAGGUUGCAUGCUUCAGAAGGGCAGCUGGGUAGGGAAUUUGUUCCUCAGGAUUUGACUCAUAGUGUUCAGCCAUCCAGGUAUUCACAGGUCCCUGCUACCAUGAUAUAAGGGAUCCUGGCUACUGCUCAAGCUGAUGCAGACCUUGGCAUAAUCCACACGAUUCUGGUUAUACAGGAAUGCAGAGUGCAAAUCUUCUGCGUUUGAGGAGGCAUUGAGCCAGAUUUCAGAAGGCCUAGAAGGCCAGGCAGUGUGCCCCUGAGAAGGCAGUGCUUGAAGCUGGUGAGAGUGAAACUGAGUGUGCAAUAAAGACCCCAGAGAGUUGGAGGAACCAGAAACAUGGAACAUCUGAGGAAAGCCACUGCAUGAAGCAAAGACACCCCAAGAGAAAAGCUAUUAGAGCUUUAACCACCAAGGAUACUGCAGGGGUAGGGCCGUCCAAGCUAUUUGAAGUUCACAUCUCAGCAUAGUUUUCUCUGGGUUCUAGAUAUGGAGCUACAGGAUUUAAUGUUCUCCCUGUUGAUUUUCAGUCUUGCUUUGGUUCCGUUGAUUUCUAUUCCCACAUUUCUCCUUUUUGGAAUGAGAAUGUGUACCUUAUGCAUUGUAUGCCAGCAGUGUUUAACUUCUUUUGGGUAUUUACUGUGGCUUACAGCUAAGAGUUUCCCUUCAGUCUCAGAGGAUACCUUGGACUUGGCCUUUUCAGCAAUGCUGGGAUGGUUAGGAAUUUGGCAACUGUUAGAAACAGACUAAAGGAAAUUUGCAUAAAUAUAUAUGCAUGAAUCUUUGGGGAUUAGGGAUGGAAUUUUAUGAUUUAUGUCUAGAAGUCCCAUAAUAUUGUAGGUGGACUUUAAGGAAGGUGAUUAGACUAUAGGGGUAUUAUAGGUGAAGUGUAUUAGGAGGUGGGGCUUGGUUAGAAAAGACAAAUCACUGUAGAUAUGACCUGGAAGGCGAUAUCUCCCUUCCAAGCUCUUCUCACAGUUCUGUGCUUCCUAGAUGCCAUGAGAUAAGCAGCUUGGCUCCUCCUAGCCCCUUCAACUAUGCUGUUAUGACAUCAAGACAGCUGAGUAUGUACUGCAACCUUUACAAAUGGUGAGCCAAAGUAAACCUUUGGUCAUUUACUUUGUGGGUGUGAGGUAUUGUCUCUAAGCCAUAAGAAAAGUGACUACGGCAUGUACCACCCUUAAAACAGGCAGGCAUACAGUAAAGGGGAAAAAAAACCCUCACUUAUUCAGUGAAAGAAGAAUCUGUGGGAAAAAAACAAGAGUGAAUAUAUUUUAUGAUACUAAUUAAUGUUGGUUAUGAAAUAAUGAUCAAUAUCAUUAACAUAAAAACAUUAAAUCUAAAGAAUGUUCAUAGUAUACAUAAUUAAAACAGUGUCACUGGGUUUGGCAAUCUAUAAGUCAUUGAUAAAUUUGGAAUGACCAUAUUACUAUAUGAAUGAAAUACAGACAUUUGGAUGUGUAAAUUAAAAUAGAAUUUAAAUUUUACUUUAAGAGGGAUGAUCAGUGGAGUUAUGCAGAAAUGUUUCUUGUUCUUUUGAUGAGACCUAAGUAUACGUACAGACAGAUUACAAGGAGCAAAUUGAUGAAUUAAAAAUACUGAUGAAAUCAGACAUCAUAAUUACAGUAAAGGCCCAUAGAAUGUGAUAGAAGAGUAGCAGUGGAGGAGCAUGGAAGGCACUUGCACUUGAAUAGAUCAAAGAAAUACAAUGUUGUUGAGAUGUAGAAUAGGUCAUUCAUACAAAAGAGAGCAAAUGAUUGUGAUAGUGGCAGGAUCAUGAAACAAGAAUUUACUAGCCAUGUACUAAUCAUUUCCCUGAUGAAAGGAAAGCAGAUUUUAUUUAUCUGUGAGACUGAUAAAUAAAAAAAAUAUAUCAGAUGGGAAACAAGGAUCUUGUUCUGAGUAGGGACAUGCAAUGGUCUAAAGGCAGUAUCUUUAUGUGACUUUAGAUGUAAGAGGAUGAACAAGUUGCACUGCAGAUCUGCCAUGGUGAGUUAACUUUAAAAAGAGACAGAAUAAGGUCAUGAUGUGAGAUUGGAGGUAGGCAAAGACCUGGUGAAUAUACAUAACGAUUAAAAGGGGUUUAUUAGUAACAAAUCAUACUUUCCACAAGGAAACGGGGACUGAUGCGAAGGUGGGGAUAGUAGACAGUGAAUUAGAAACAUAAAAAUAUGAGGAGAGAGAGAGAGAGGCAGAGAGAAUGAAAGAACAGAAAUUCCCAUUUGGGCUAUAUUUGGAUAUUGACCAAAGUUAUACAAAGUUAUAAAGGAUGCAAUAAUUUUCCACUGAAUAAAACCAAAAAUAUGCUUCAUCAAAAGCACAGGCUGAGACUUCAGGAAAAAAGCCCUUACAGAGG
rnacentral:lncRNA from 1 species